rnacentral:lncRNA from 1 species
AUAAAUAUAUAUUAAUUUAUAUUAAUAAACACAAUAUAUUUAUAUUAAAAUAAUACACAAGACAAAUAUUAUAAAGUUUAAUUAAAAUGCAUUAUUAAUUUGGGAUUUUUUACAUAUUAUCCGGUCUCUGGUACGACCCGCACGGGGGAGGUCUAACUACUCGUCUGGACGGCUCACGUAGUGGUGGUGCUUCCCUAUUCCCA